rnacentral:rRNA from 1 species
AGCGAACGUUAGCGGCGGGCCUAACACAUGCAAGUCGAACGGGCUGUAGCAAUACAGUCAGUGGCGCACGGGUGCGUAACGCGUAGAUAAUCUACCUCUUGGUGGGGGAUAACUAGGGGAAACUCUAGCUAAUACCGCAUAAGACCACGGGGCCUGCGGGCCCUGAGGGAAAAGACCGCCUCUGCAUAUGCGGUCACCGGGAGAUGAGUCUGCGUCCCAUCAGCUAGUUGGUGAGGUAAUGGCUCACCAAGGCUAAGACGGGUAGCUGGUCUGAGAGGAUGAUCAGCCACACUGGCACUGGAACACGGGCCAGACUCCUACGGGAGGCAGCAGUGGGGAAUAUUGGGCAAUGGGCGCAAGCCUGACCCAGCCACGCCGCGUGAGCGAUGAAGGCCUUCGGGUUGUAAAGCUCUGUGGGGAGGGGCGAAAAACUGCCAGCUAACAACUGGUGGGUUGACGGUACCUCCUUAGCAAGCACCGGCUAACUCUGUGCCAGCAGCCGCCGUAA